rnacentral:rRNA from 1 species
ACGAACGCUGGCGGCGUGCUUAACACAUGCAAGUGGAGCGACGAACCAGGGCUUGCCCUGGGGCAGAGCCGCGAACGGGUGAGUAACACGUGGGCAACGUGCCCCGAUGAUCGGGACAACCCGGGAAACCCGGGCUAAUACCGAAUGUGCUCCCCUCACACCAGUGAGGGAGUGGAAAGGAAAGCUUCGGCCGUCCGCAUCGGGAUCGGCCCGCGGCCAUUAGCUUGUUGGUGAGGUAACGGCNCACCAAGGCUGCGAUGGGUAGCUGGUCUGAGAGGACGAUCAGCCACACUGGGACUGAGACACGGCCCAGACUCCUACGGGAGGCAGCAGGUGGGGAAUCUUGCGCAAUGCGCGAAAGCGUGACGC